rnacentral:rRNA from 1 species
UACGUAGGGUGCAAGCGUUGUCCGGAAUUAUUGGGCGUAAAGAGCUCGUAGGCGGCUUGUCGCGUCGACUGUGAAAACCCGCGGCUCAACCGUGUGGUCUGCAGUCGAUACGGGCAGGCUAGAGUUCGGUAGGGGAGACUGGAAUUCCUGGUGUAGCGGUGAAAUGCGCAGAUAUCAGGAGGAACACCGGUGGCGAAGGCGGCGAACUGGAUAGUAACUGACACUCAACUACGAAAGCGUGGGGAGCAAACAGG